rnacentral:lncRNA from 1 species
UGAUAUUUGUAUGGGAAAAUCCAACUUUUCGCCUUUUUCAUACUCUGCUCAUUUUGGUUCCUCUUUUGUCUGAGAUUCUUGCUUAAGCCCGAAAAAUAUCAAAAAAUAUCCUACUAAGCAUAAAACAUGAUAAAAAGAAAGUAAAUCGGACAAAAACAAGAAAAUAACAAAGUAACACAACCAAUAAAAGUGAUGUGAAAAC